rnacentral:rRNA from 1 species
UGAAUACGAGAUGCUACGGCGUCGAAGCAGUCUAUGUCAUACUUCCAAGAAAAGCUCGCACUGUCAUAAACAAAUAAUGCCUGUACCAUAACCGACACAGGUGGGUAGGUAGAGUAUACUAAGGGGCGCGAGAUAACUCUCUCUAAGGAACUCGGCAAAAUGACUCCGUAACUUCGGGAGAAGGAGUGCCUUAUUUAUAAGGUUGCAAUAACAAGAUCCAAGCAACUGUUUAUCAAAAACACAGGUCUCCGCUAAGUCGUAAGACGAUGUAUGGGGGCUGACGCCUGCCCAGUGCCAGAAGGUUAAAGAAGUUGGUUAGCAUUCGCGAAGCUGAUAACUGAAGCCCUGGUGAACGGCGGCCGUAACAAUAACGGUCCUAAGGUAGCGAAAUUCCUUGUCGGGUAAGUUCCGACCCGCACGAAAGGCGUAAUGAUUUGGAUACUGUCUCGGAGAGGGGCUCGGUGAAAUAGACUUGUCUGUGAAGAUGCGGACUACCUGCACCAGGACAGAAAGACCCUAUGAAGCUUUACUGUAACUUGAGAUUGAAAUUGGACUUUACUUGCGCAGUAUAGGUGGGAGGCGUUGAUAAUAUUCUUGCGGAUUAUUUGAGCCAUCAGUGAGAUACCACUCUUGUAAUGUUAGAUUUCUAACUUUGUAUCAUUAUCUGGUCAAAGGACAGUUUCAGGCGGGCAGUUUGACUGGGGCGGUCGCCUCCUAAACGGUAACGGAGGCGCACAAAGGUUUCCUCUGAACGGGUAGAAAUCGUAUCUAGAGUGUAAAGGCAUAAGGAAGCUUGACUGUGAGACCUACAAGUCGAGCAGGGACGAAAGUCGGUCUUAGUGAUCUGACGGUGCUGAGUGGAAAGGCCGUCACUCAACGGAUAAAAGUUACUCUAGGAUAACAGGCUGAUCUCCCCCAAGAGUUCACAUCGACGGGGAGGUUUGGCACCUCGAUGUCGGCUCAUCGCAUCCUGGGGCGGUAGUACGUCCCAAGGGUUGGGCUGUUCGACCAUGAAAGCGGUACGCGAGCUGGGUUCAGAACGUCGUGAGACAGUUCGGUCCAUAUCCGGUGUAGGCGUUAGAAUAUUGAGAGGAGCCUUCUUUAGUACGAGAGGACCGAGAAGGACAUACCUCUGGUGUACCAGUUAUCGUGCCAACGGUAAACGCUGGGUAGCUAUGUAUGGAGUGGAUAACCGCUGAAAGCAUCUAAGUGGGAAGCCCACCUCAAGAUAAGUAUUCUC